UACGGGGGGGGCAAGCGUUGUUCGGAAUUACUGGGCGUAAAGAGCGUGUAGGCGGCCAGGUAGGUCGGUUGUGAAAACUGGAGGCUCAACCUUCAGAGGUCGACCGAAACCAUCUGGCUAGAGUCCGGGAGAGGAGAGUGGAAUUCCUGGUGGUAGCGGUGAAAUGCGCAGAUAUCAGGAAGAACACCCGUGGCGAAAGCGGCUCUCUGGAACGGUACUGACGCUGAGACGCGAAACUGGGGAGC
rnacentral:rRNA from 1 species